CUUCUAAAGCUAAAUACCGGCCAGAGACCGAUAGCGCACAAGUAGAGUGAUCGAAAGAUGAAAAGCACUUUGAAAAGAGGGUUAAACAGCACGUGAAAUUGUUAAAAGGGAAGCGCUUGUGACCAGACUUGCGUCCGGUGAAUCACCCAGCUCUCGCGGCUGGGGCACUUCGCCGGCUCAGGCCAGCAUCAGCUCGCUGUCGGGGACAAAAGCUUCAGGAACGUAGCUCUCUUCGGGGAGUGUUAUAGCCUGUUGCAUAAUACCCUUCGGCGGGCUGAGGUACGCGCUCCGCAAGGAUGCUGGCAUAAUGGUCAUCAGCGACCCG
rnacentral:rRNA from 1 species